ACCAGCAGCGAUAGCACUUUGAAUGCACCAGUUCCCUAGGGAUCACUCAAGUUAAGCAACGUUUCCCGUGGUUGGUAUCCAGAUGGGUGACCAUUUGGGCAAUCGCGUGCUGGCUUUUU
rnacentral:rRNA from 1 species